CAACUAUUUGUGAGGAGAUAUUGGAAAUAGGGAAAGUGAUUUUUUUAUUCUAUGCAAAUUUAUUUUUCACUUUGCCUAAAGCCAUUGGCUGUUUUAUUUUAUUAUUCACAUUCUUGUUUGAGUGAAUAUGUAUAGGAUAUAAGCUGAAAAUGACUGCAGGAAUUAUGUGAAGUGAAAUUUUUGACUUCAAGCAGAAAUAAACAUAUUAAUAAACUGGACUCCAACUAUUAGAGACUUCUAGAUGAUUCUUUUUAUGACUGAAUAUUCCAACACUUACUACUUUAAUACUAGUUUCUUAUAUUAUGGAAUAUAUAAUUGUUCUGUUUAAUCCAGCGGCAAUAUCAGAGUAGGCGAGUAGUUAAACUUGAUUCUCCUGAGAAGAAGCCUAUCCUAGAAUAGGAAUUGAGUUUGAUGAAGUCUACAUUUGAGAGUAAGAAACAAGCACUAACUUUACUCCUAGCAACUUCUUGUAUAUUGGCCUUAACAGAAGUCUAUACAUGCAUUGUUGAGCCUUUCUUUUGAUGUUCAUUUCCUAGCUCCUGCCCAGAAGUGACUCACCAGGAUUUGAGCCCAACACAUUGGAGUUUAGAUACUGUAAAGAAAAAAAAAAAACAACUCUAAAAGUUGGGUUAUAAUGUGCAUCUGUUAACAAUUCAUGAAUAUUCUGUGAAGUCUUAUGGAGAGCAACAACAUAAUCUCACUUCUGCUUUAAAAACAAAUGGAGAGGAUCUACUGAAUGUUAUCAAUGCAAGGGAAAAGAUAUAUGUGGAGAAACAGAUCCAAUGUACCCUUAUAUAGCUCUUCCUCAAAUUACUACAGAGCUAUGUCCAGAUAAACCCAUCAAAAGUGAGAAAUAUCAUAAAUUGAAAAUGCAUUCGGGCCGACACUGUGGCACAGCGGGUUAACACCCUGGCCUGAAGCGCCAGCAUCCCUAAUGGGCACUGGUUCUUGUCCCGGCUGCUCCACUUCUGAUCCAGCUCUCUGCUAUAGCCUGGGAUAGCAGUAGAAGACAGCCCAUUU
rnacentral:lncRNA from 1 species